rnacentral:lncRNA from 1 species
GAAGAGAAGAGUUGUUAAUUUUUUCUUAUUAGGGUAAACUUUAUAUACCACACCUGUAUUUUCGUACUUUCUUAUUACAGUACAUUAUGAUUUAAAGUGUAUCAAAUUAGUGUCAUGUAGUAUUCUUUUUAUCUUCUCGUCAGCUUCUCCGUUAAUAUUUCGUUAAAAUAUAUACAAAAAACAUCAGAUAGUACACCUAAAUUUAUCUAAUAUUUAUUUUAGUACCUUUUAGUUUUAACUUUGUCACUGAUUUAAUGAAAAAAAUUAGUAGAAUCGAAAAUAAAAAGAUAAAAAUGAAACCAUGGAAUACUAAAUUGAUACACGUUAAACCACAGGAUACUAAAGUGAGAAAGUGUGAAACCACAUGGGUGGUCCUUUUAUUUACGACAAAUAGGGGUAUAAAAGUAAGGCUAAAUUAUAAAAAAAUCUUGCUAAAAAUAUUAUUUUUAAUUUUUUUUUAACUUAUAUUUUGUUUUCUUAAAAUUUUAAAAAUAUUUUCAGCAGGUACGACGUUAAUGGAGAGGGCAAAAUAAUUUUUUAACAUAUUUAUCCUAUUUUGAAGGGUAUUUUUAGUAUAAAUUAUUAGAAAUGGAUAGAAUAGUGAUGAAAUCUUGACAGAUGAGGACUAAAUAGAACAACUUAAAAUAUUAAGAAGGUA